rnacentral:rRNA from 1 species
GCCUAGGAAAUUGCCCUGAUGUGGGGGAUAACCAUUGGAAACGAUGGCUAAUACCGCAUGAUGCCUACGGGCCAAAGAGGGGGACCUUCGGGCCUCUCGCGUCAGGAUAUGCCUAGGUGGGAUUAGCUAGUUGGUGAGGUAAGGGCUCACCAAGGCGACGAUCCCUAGCUGGUCUGAGAGGAUGAUCAGCCACACUGGAACUGAGACACGGUCCAGACUCCUACGGGAGGCAGCAGUGGGGAAUAUUGCACAAUGGGCGCAAGCCUGAUGCAGCCAUGCCGCGUGUGUGAAGAAGGCCUUCGGGUUGUAAAGCACUUUCAGUCGUGAGGAAGGUAGUGUAGUUAAUAGCUGCAUUAUUUGACGUUAGCGACAGAAGAAGCACCGGCUAACUCCGUGCCAGCAGCCGCGGUAAUACGGAGGGUGCGAGCGUUAAUCGGAAUUACUGGGCGUAAAGCGCAUGCAGGUGGUUUGUUAAGUCAGAUGUGAAAGCCCGGGGCUCAACCUCGGAAUUGCAUUUGAAACUGGCAGACUAGAGUACUGUAGAGGGGGGUAGAAUUUCAGGUGUAGCGGUGAAAUGCGUAGAGAUCUGAAGGAAUACCGGUGGCGAAGGCGGCCCCCUGGACAGAUACUGACACUCAGAUGCGAAAGCGUGGGGAGCAAACAGGAUUAGAUACCCUGGUAGUCCACGCCGUAAACGAUGUCUACUUGGAGGUUGUGGCCUUGAGCCGUGGCUUUCGGAGCUAACGCGUUAAGUAGACCGCCUGGGGAGUACGGUCGCAAGAUUAAAACUCAAAUGAAUUGACGGGGGCCCGCACAAGCGGUGGAGCAUGUGGUUUAAUUCGAUGCAACGCGAAGAACCUUACCUACUCUUGACAUCCAGAGAACUUUCCAGAGAUGGAUUGGUGCCUUCGGGAACUCUGAGACAGGUGCUGCAUGGCUGUCGUCAGCUCGUGUUGUGAAAUGUUGGGUUAAGUCCCGCAACGAGCGCAACCCUUAUCCUUGUUUGCCAGCGAGUAAUGUCGGGAACUCCAGGGAGACUGCCGGUGAUAAACCGGAGGAAGGUGGGGACGACGUCAAGUCAUCAUGGCCCUUACGAGUAGGGCUACACACGUGCUACAAUGGCGCAUACAGAGGGCGGCCAACUUGCGAAAGUGAGCGAAUCCCAAAAAGUGCGUCGUAGUCCGGAUUGGAGUCUGCAACUCGACUCCAUGAAGUCGGAAUCGCUAGUAAUCGUGGAUCAGAAUGCCACGGUGAAUACGUUCCCGGGCCUUGUACACACCGCCCGUCACACCAUGGGAGUGGGCUGCAAAAGAAGUAGGUA